rnacentral:rRNA from 1 species
UAGGGAAUCUUCGGCAAUGGACGAAAGUCUGACCGAGCAACGCCGCGUGAGUGAAGAAGGUUUUCGGAUCGUAAAACUCUGUUGUUAGAGAAGAACAAGGACGUUAGUAACUGAACGUCCCCUGACGGUAUCUAACCAGAAAGCCACGGCUAACUACGUGCCAGCAGCCGCGGUAAUACGUAGGUGGCAAGCGUUGUCCGGUUUUAUUGGGCGUAAAGCGAGCGCAGGCGGUUUCUUAAGUCUGAUGUGAAAGCCCCCGGCUCAACCGGGGAGGGUCAUUGGAAACUGGGAGACUUGAGUGCAGAAGAGGAGAGUGGAAUUCCAUGUGUGGCGGUGAAAUGCGUAGAUAUAUGGAGGAACACCAGUGGCGAAGGCGGCUCUCUGGUCUGUAACUGACGCUGAGGCUCGAAAGCGUGGGGAGCAAACAGG